rnacentral:rRNA from 1 species
CACGUAGGGGCGAGCGUUGUCCGGAAUUACUGGGCGUAAAGGGCGCGCAGGCUGUUAUGCGAGUCUGCUGUGAAAUGUACCGGCUCAACCGGUGCCUUGCGGCGGAUACUGCAUAGCUGGAGUACUGGAGAGGGAAGUGGAAUUCCCGGUGUAGCGGUGAAAUGCGUAGACAUCGGGAGGAACACCGGUGGCGAAGGCGGCUUUCUGGCCAGUUACUGACGCUCAUGCGCGAAAGCUGGGGUAGCGAACCGGAUUAGAUACCCU